UCAUGUUUCCAUUAAGAUUUU
rnacentral:piRNA from 1 species